GCGAGGGGUGAAAUCCUAGGACCCUCCCGAGGCAAACAGGUGCGAAGGCGUUCGGCAAGGACGUUUUCAUUAAUCAAGAACGAAAGUCGGGGGAGCGAAGAUGAUCAGAUACCGUCGUAGUCUCGACAGUAAACGAUGCCGACCGGGGGCCCGGGAACGUUACGCAGUACGACUCCCCGAGCCCCCUCCCCGAGAAAUCUCGAGUAUUCGGGUUCUGGGGGGAGUACGGUCGCAAGGCUGAAACUUAAAGGAAUUGACGGAAGGGCACCACCAGGAGUGGAACCUGCGGCUUAAUUUGACUCAACGCGGGGAAACUCACCAGGUCCGGACACGGUGAGGAUUGACAGAUUGACGGAUCUUUCUCGAUUCCGUGGAAAGUGGUGCAUGGCCGUUUCUAGUUGGUGGAUCGAUCCGUCUGGUUUAUUCCGUUAACGAACGAGACCUCGACCCGUCGAAUAGUUCGGCGGACCGGGGGACGGUCCUCCGGGGCCGCCCCUACCACGGUCCGUCCGCGGCCGGGCCCCGUGCCCGGUCGCCGGCCGUCGACCGUUCCGGCCGUCGGACCCCUUGGGCAACCUCGGGGCGAGGCGGUGGGACGGGAGGCGGUCGGAGCUUCUCGGAGGGACCACCCGCCUUAGGCAAGCGGGGGGAAGAUCGAGGCCAAAACAGGUCUGUGAUGCCCUUAGAUGUCCUGGGCCGCACGCGCGUUACAGUGACACGGGCAACGAGCUUCCUCCCUCCCCGCAGGGGGUGGGGAAACCCGAAGCCGUGUCGCGGUGGGGACAGACCAUUGCAACUAUUGAUCUCGAACCAGGAAUUCCUAGUAGGUGCGGGUCACCAGCCCGCGCCGACUACGUCCCUGCCCUUUGUACACACCGCCCGUCGCUCCUACCGAUCGAACGUUCCGGCGAGGACUUGGGAAGUCCGGGUGCCCCGCGGCCGCAAUGCUACGGGGUCCGAACCAAACUCGUUCGAACCUUAUCGUUUAGAGGAAGGAGAAGUCGUAACAAGGUUUCCG
rnacentral:rRNA from 1 species